AUGAAUCAGCAACAAAAUAUCCUUCUCAUCACUGACCUCCUCCUUGGUGGAAUUACAGUGGCAGUAGCAGUAGCAGUUGUGUUUGGUCUGGAGCAGCAUGGCUUAGUGUCGUUGUUGUCGACCAUUUCUUCAGUUCUGUGGCACUGGUCAUCUUCCCCAUUUGAGACUUUCAGGUUCAACGCCUUCCCUGCACCUGAAUUUGCCAUUGCCACUAUUUCUCUUUUUUAUUAG
rnacentral:lncRNA from 1 species